AGUGAACGCUGGCGGCAGGCCUAAUACAUGCAAGUCGAACGGCAGCACAGCAGAGCUUGCUCUGUGGGUGGCGAGUGGCGGACGGGUGAGGAAUACAUGGGAAUCUGCCCAGUCGUGGGGGAUAACGUAUGGAAACGUACGCUAAUACCGCAUGCGCCCUACGGGGGAAAGCCGGGGACCGAAAGGCCUGGCGCGAUUGGAUGAGCCCAUGUUCGAUUAGCUAGUUGGCGGGGUAAAGGCCCACCAAGGCGACGAUCGAUAGCUGGUCUGAGAGGAUGAUCAGCCACACUGGAACUGAGACACGGUCCAGACUCCUACGGGAGCAGCAGUAGGGAAUAUUGGACAAUGGGGGCAACCCUGAUCCAGCCAUGCCGCGUGAGUGAAGAAGGCCCUCGGGUUGUAAAGCUCUUUUGUCCGGAAAGAAACGAUGCCUUCUAAUACAGGGCGUUAAUGACGGUACCUGAAGAAUAAGCACCGGCUAACUACGU
rnacentral:rRNA from 1 species